rnacentral:hammerhead_ribozyme from 1 species
AUCCAGCUAACGAGUCCCAAAUAGGAUGAAACACAUGUCCUGGAU